AAUGCCAGCGCAGUUCUAUUAAUUUGCAAACCGAUCUACAUAUAUUCGCAAACCCUAUACAUAUUUGUGACUUCCAUUGUAUUUGUGUGUGGAUUUUUGAGACUGUCCUGACGGUAUAUGACACACAAAUGUGCUCAGCCAAUCACAUCAGCCGGCGUUCGAGCGUAAGGUUGAAGACAUUGCGCUUCUAUUACGCAGAGAAGGCUACUAGUGCGAAGCCACCAUAGAUCUUUAUACACCGAUCAGAGGAAAUAACCGGAAGUAGAGCCAUUACUGAAGUGCUCCCUGACGUAAACUCGUAAUUGAAGCGGAUUCCCAGAUUGACGCUCCCAACUCAGGACGCUCCCAUUUCAUCUCGCUCCCACUAGCCAGACUAUCGGUACCACCGCCAUAUGACGGAGCCAGUUAUCUUGUUGAUGUUAGUUUUUUGUUUCUAACCCUAACCUUAACCCUAACCUUAACCCUAAACCUAACCCUAACCCUAAACCUAACCCUAAAUUGCUUGUAUGUGGCAGUAUAUGAUAAUACGUGAAAUAUAAUCGGGUGGGACCGCACGUCCGGGAGUGAUAGAAACACCUGGGACCGCACGUCCGGGAGCGAUCUCAGUUGGGAGUCUCCAUCCGCUUACCACUGAAGCGUAUGAAGUUCCUGACUUUCACAUCAUCUUUGUACAAAUAUGUCUGGAUCUGGACUAACGUGUGCCGUAAUCGGAUGUCACAAUAACAGCAGAACGCUAAAAAUGUGGAAAAAGAGCGUAUGUGCGCUUCAUAGUCCACAGUUUAAAGAGGAUUGUCCUUGUUGUGUGCCCUACGGUGUAAACCGCUUCCCCGGCCGUGCUGAGGAUGAAGACAUUCGCAAGAUAUGGAUUAAAAACGUACACCGAAAGGACUUUGCCCCCAAACAAGUAUUCAAUGGUGUGUGGAGUACACUUCCCUGACGGCAGACCAACGCAGGAACACCCAUAUCCCAUAAUAUGGGAUAUGAAUAUAGUAAAGCACCAUCAUGUGGAAGACCACCCACAAAGAGGAGAUGUCUCCAGCCCCCAACAGAGAGACCAUGUGAUGAGCCUCCUGUGACAAAUUCUGAUACCGAAGUAGGGCAUAGCUUGGAGGAUAGUCUGUCUCCACACCAAUGUGAUGUUGGCACUCAGUGGCCAGAGCGUAGUGAUCAUGAUUAUUGUUCGAUGAAGUCAACAAAAGAUGCAAGCACACAAACAGAUCCUACACCAUCACUGUCAGCUCAUGACAUGGAUGAUAAAGUGUCAAAAUUUUACAUUGGACUAGACAUCAUCAGCUUUUGGCAACUUUUGAACACCAUCAUUGGCUUUCUUCCACAGUCGAAGACGUUCAAAUUAACAGUCCAUGAACAGCUACUGCUGGUCCUAAUGAGGCUUCGGCUUGGCUUAAUGUUCACAGAUUUGGGAUCAGCAGAACUACAGCCUGUGAUAUGUUCGCAAUGUGGAGAGCAACACUUUCCCAAGGGAAAAUCUUUUUUUUGGCUCCCUCGAGACACUCUGAAUAGAGUAAGACCCUCAAGUUUUCUUGAACACUAUCCCAAUGCAACAUGCAUCAUAGAUUGCACUGAAAUAUUUGUCCAAAGACCGAAGAACUUGGGGAAAAGAGCAAAAACAUACAGCAACUAUAAGCAUCACAACACCUACAAAGUCCUCUAUUGCAUAGCCCCCCAAUGGUUUUGUGAUGUAUUGUGUCAAAACUGUUUGGUGCCAGAGCUAGUGACAUUUUUAUCACAAAAAACUGUGGAUUUCUGUCACAUUUGAUUUUUGGUGAUCAGAUUUUGACAGACCGGGGAUUCACAAUUGGAGAUGUUCUUCCUCCAGGAGUGACAUUGGCUAUUCCAGCACUUACACGUUGAUGUACACAACUAUCAGAACAGGAAGUCACAAGAACCCGCCGUCUCGCCAAUGUCCGAAUUCAUGUUGAACGUGCAAUAAGAAGGUUAAAAUGCUUCAAAAUUUUGAGUAAUGUAAUUCCAGGUUGUUUAAAACAUGUUGAUGACAUUUUGACUAUUUGUGCAGGCCUGUGUAACCUUCUUGAAAUCUUACAAACAUGUUUGGCAUACACUACACUUGUCCCUGUCUGUAGGCCUACAUGUCAGCAUCAUCUUCCAACUUGUCAGCGAUAAUAUGCCCAAGAUAUUUUGUACUGCUUGACACACAGUGAUUGCCCUGACAGGUAAAACGUUGGAAAGACUUCCUGAACACAACACUUUUUUUGCAUUGUACUGUAUUUUUUUGCAUUGUACUGUAGGCCUACAUCAAACUCAACCCCAGAGCACACAUUCAGAAGUUGCUGAAACUCAACAGUGCCGGGGGACAUGGGCCUAAUAACCAGAUCAUCAAAUGGUUGAAAACGGUGCAUGUGUUUUAUUGUCUGUGUCUAAAUCUCGUCAUACAUCCAGUGUGUUUUGUUUUUUUAACAGACGUGUUUUCACAAUGACACUCUGAGAAUUUACUUUUGGACAAAGUGUCUUGUGUAUAAAAUGGUGUGCAGACAGCCGGAGUGUGUGUGUUGCGUAAAGGAGCAAGUGCUUUGCAAAGAUACCAGCUGAAAGUGUAAUGCUUGACUUUUGAUUAAGGUAAAGCAGCAUGUGUUUAAGUUAUAGUACCAACAACUGAACAAUAUGCUACUUUGGUUUAAGCAUCGGCCUAUUGUGUUUAAGCAGUAGCCUAGGCAAAAACUGUAACAAAGUAAAAACAAAACAAAGAAAAUAUAACUGGCGAAUGAAUUAAGAACCUGAAUUUUCACCAGCAUUUGACCGGUUGUUAAUUUAAAACAGGCAUGCAUAUAUAUCUAUAUCUAUCUUUAGAAAAUAGGCCUACGUUAACAACAGGGAAUCUUUAUCUUUUCAGGUCAAGGUGGCCUAAGGUGCUGGGGGAAACUCUCUCUCUAGGCUAGGCCUAAUCAGAAAGCAAGGUGUGUGUGUGUGUGUUUUUUUUUUUAAACCUGUCAUUAAAGGGACACUGCAAGA